UGGGGAAUAUUGGACAAUGGGCGGAAGCCUGAUCCAGCAACGCCGCGUGAGGGAUGACGGCCUUCGGGUUGUAAACCUCUUUCAGCGCAGACGAAGCUGCCUUUGGGUGGUGACGGUAUGCGCAGAAGAAGCACCGGCCAACUACGUGCCAGCAGCCGCGGUAAUACGUAGGGUGCGAGCGUUGUCCGGAAUUAUUGGGCGUAAAGGGCUCGUAGGCGGUUUGUUGCGUCGGGAGUGAAAUCUUACAGCUUAACUGUGAGCUUGCUUUCGAUACGGGCAGACUGGAGGUAUGCAGGGGAGAACGGAAUUCCUGGUGUAGCGGUGAAAUGCGCAGAUAUCAGGAGGAACACCGGUGGCGAAGGCGGUUCUCUGGGCAUGUCCUGACGCUGAGGAGCGAAAGUGUGGGGAGCGAACAGG
rnacentral:rRNA from 1 species